rnacentral:rRNA from 1 species
CACGUAGGGGACGAGCGUUGUCCGGAUUCAUUGGGCGUAAAGCGCGCGUAGGCGGCUUGGCAAGUCAAAGGUGAAAUCCCUCGGCUCAACUGAGGAACUGCCUUUGAAACUGCCUGGCUUGAGGCCGGGAGGGGUAGCGGAAUUCCCAGUGUAGCGGUGAAAUGCGUAGAUAUUGGGAGGAACACCAGUGGCGAAGGCGGCUACCUGGACCGGUUCUGACGCUGAUGCGCGAAAGCGUGGGUAGCAAACAGG